rnacentral:tRNA from 13 species
GCCCCCUUCGUCUAGUGGCCCAGGAUACCUGGUUCUCAGCCAGGAGACAGGGGUUCGAUUCCCCUAGGGGGUA